rnacentral:rRNA from 1 species
CAGUAGCCACGGUAAUACGAAGGGUGCAAGCGUUACUCGGAAUUACUGGGCGUAAAGCGUGCGUAGGCGGUGGUUUAAGUCUGCUGUGAAAGCCCUGGGCUCAACCUGGGAAUUGCAGUGGAUACUGGAUCACUAGAGUGUGGUAGAGGGAUGCGGAAUUUCUGGUGUAGCAGUGAAAUGCGUAGAGAUCAGAAGGAACAUCCGUGGCGAAGGCGGCAUCCUGGGCCAACACUGACACUGAGGCACGAAAGCGUGGGGAGCAAACAGGAUUAGAUACCCCUGUAGUCCCUGUCUCUUAUAA